rnacentral:lncRNA from 1 species
CAAGGCCAGAAUCAGAGAGAGCAUGCCCCUCUUAACUUAAAGGGUAUGAAACAACUGAAGGAGGUUGUUUUGGCAUACGGGCCUCAUGCUCUUUUACUCUGGCCUUUUUUGAAUCCUUUGCAGCCUUGUAGGGGAAGCUGUAGCCACGCUUACUUAGAGGCUGGCUACAGGUAUUCCUGACCACGCUUGCAAGAGCAUGGUCAGCGUGAUGUAGAGUGACUGCAUUUUCUCUUUCAGUUUCACUUUGGUACUUGCUGGACAGACUGCUGCCACGCCGGCUGGCUAUGACCAUAUUGUGAGCAGGAAAGGUAAAGGGAACACCUAAGCCCAGGAGACUGAGCUAAUUAUUGGGGACACUGCCUGUGAAGAAGAUCUCUGCUUUUGGUUUUCCUGGUUUUCCUUACUCUGGCAAGUAACCACCUUCUCUGGGCCUCUGCAACAUGCCUGCAAAGCAUAACUACCAUCUCACAAGGAGGACUCUUGGCUUCAUAGUUAAUUGAAUCUUAAAGGCAUUAAGACUCAGCACCUGUAAUGGAAAAGCAAAGUCUCAUCAGCAUGACUGUCUGAAUAUGGGCUGGACAAGAACAACAACAAUAGACACGUGGAUGGCAAAAAGCCCAUGAGACCCCAUCCCUACACAAAGAGCUACGGGAAAGAACACCACAUCAGCUGUCAUGGUUCACUGCCUGCGCCAGAAGACAGAGAAGGAACGCUUGGAGUUCACACUGAAAUUGAAUCCUGGAUGUCAGUGGAGAUCAUGGAGAGAUGAUGGGCUUAGAAGACAAGAUGGAUGAGAAAAUGGCCAGUUCCCUCCUGAUGAAGUUCCACUCUGUCCUUACGAGGCUCUAGCCAAUCUUGGGGAUUUUUUUGGGGAACUAAGUUCAGUGGCUUGCUUUAAUCACAGACAAAUUCAAUGACUGUAAACAAUAGUGGUGG